rnacentral:rRNA from 1 species
GAUGAACGCUGGCGGCGUGCCUAAUACAUGCAAGUCGAGCGAACAGACGAGGAGCUUGCUCCUCUGACGUUAGCGGCGGACGGGUGAGUAACACGUGGAUAACCUACCUAUAAGACUGGGAUAACUUCGGGAAACCGGAGCUAAUACCGGAUAAUAUAUUGAACCGCAUGGUUCAAUAGUUAAAUACGGUUUUUCUGUCACUUAUAGAUGGAUCCGCGCCGCAUUAGCUAGUUGGUAAGGUAACGGCUUACCAAGGCAACGAUGCGUAGCCGACCUGAGAGGGUGAUCGGCCACACGGGAACUGAGACACGGUACAGACUCCUACGGGAGGAAGCAGUAGGGAAUCUUCCGGAAUGGGGGAAAGCCGGACGGUGCAACGCGGCGUGAGUGAUGAAGGUGUUCGGAUCGUAAAACUCUGUUAUUAGGGAAGAACAAAUGUGUAAGUAACUAUGCACGUAUUGACGGUACCUAAUCAGAAAGCCACGGCUAACUACGUG